rnacentral:rRNA from 1 species
UGGGGAAUCUUGCGCAAUGGGCGAAAGCCUGACGCAGCGGCACCGCGUGGGGGAUGAAGGCCUUUCAGGUCGUAAACCCCUUUCGGCAGGGACGAAGCGAUCUCGUGACGGUACCUGCAGAAGAAGCCUCGGCUAACUACGUCCCAGCAGCCGCGGUAACACGUAGGAGGCGAGCGUUGUCCGGAAUCAUUGGGCGUAAAGAGCGCGCAGGCGGCUUGGCAAGUCGGGUGUGAAAUCCCGGGGCUCAACCCCGGGACUGCAUUCGAUACUGUCAGGCUAGAGGUAGGUAGGGGAGAUCGGAAUUCCUGGUGUAGCGGUGAAAUGCGCAGAUAUCAGGAGGAACACCGGUGGCGAAGGCGGAUCUCUGGGCCUUACCUGACGCUCAGGCGCGAAAGCUAGGGGAGCGAA